GUAGGCGGCUUUUUAAGUCGGAUGUGAAAUCCCUGAGCUUAACUUAGGAAUUGCAUUCGAUACUGGAAAGCUAGAGUAUGGGAGAGGAUGGUAGAAUUCCAGGUGUAGCGGUGAAAUGCGUAGAGAUCUGGAGGAAUACCGAUGGCGAAGGCAGCCAUCUGGCCUAAUACUGACGCUGAGGUACGAAAGCAUGGGGAGCAAACAGGAUUAGAUACCCUGGUAGUCCAUGCCGUAAACGAUGUCUACUAGCCGUUGGGGCCUUUGAGGCUUUAGUGGCGCAGCUAACGCGAUAAGUAGACCGCCUGGGGAGUACGGUCGCAAGACUAAAACUCAAAUGAAUUGACGGGGGCCCGCACAAGCGGUGGAGCAUGUGGUUUAAUUCGAUGCAACGCGAAGAACCUUACCUGGCCUUGACAUACUAAGAACUUUCCAGAGAUGGAUUGGUGCCUUCGGGAACUUAGAUACAGGUGCUGCAUGGCUGUCGUCAGCUCGUGUCGUGAGAUGUUGGGUUAAGUCCCGCAACGAGCGCAACCCUUUUCCUUAUUUGCCAGCGGGUCAUGCCGGGAACUUUAAGGAUACUGCCAGUGACAAACUGGAGGAAGGCGGGGACGACGUCAAGUCAUCAUGGCCCUUACGGCCAGGGCUACACACGUGCUACAAUGGUCGGUACAAAGGGUUGCUACCUCGCGAGAGGAUGCUAAUCUCAAAAAGCCGAUCGUAGUCCGGAUCGCAGUCUGCAACUCGACUGCGUGAAGUCGGAAUCG
rnacentral:rRNA from 1 species